GGAGAGACUGUCAACGGCGAGACAAGCCGGCUGUAAACCGGUGCUCCUAGAGCUUGGUGGUUCAAUUCCAUCUCUCUCCACCA
rnacentral:tRNA from 1 species